GCCAGAGCAAAAAAGGGAAGCUAGAGCCACUUGCCCUUGGGGAUCUGGCCAGGAUAGGAGCAUCUGGCCUCUGCGAGUCAACAGGGACAGGAUCAGACUCUGUGUCAGCUCUGGAUCAGGCCACCCCCACUCCAGAGAUGGCCCAUGGCAGGAGCUUCCAGAGAGCGUACUCCCUCCGCACCCCCAAAUCCUCCAGCCUCCUGGAUUCCACCUACAGCCAGCUGGAGGAGAAGACAGAGAACUCGGACAAGGCUAAGCCGAGGUCAAAGAGGAGAGCUGUGAGCCUGAGGGAGUGGAAGAGUGGGAUGGAAGAGUCCCCAGCUGAGAGGACCCCCACCCCAGGGGAGAUGCCUCACUCAUUAACCCUCGAUGAUGGGGAGCUGCUAAUCGGCAAGGCUCAGAGCAAGGGCUCUCACAGGAUGAAGCAGUGCAAGAAGCAGGUGGACCAAGCCCUCCGCAGAGGCUGGGAGACCUUCGUGGCUAACCUGUACAGCGUGACGCUGAGCCGCCCGGCUCCCCCCUCCAAGGCCGCCCCGUCACUUAUGAGAACAUGUUGAGGAACCAGAAGAAGAGACAAUGACUCUGGGUGGCUGGGCCACUCCCAGAGACAUGAACUUCCUAGAGCAGCAUUAGCCACUGAUCUGGCUGUGUUGGGGACAGGGUGCUUUUUUAUAACAACUGGAGAUGGGCCUGGGCCACCCAUCCAGAUCCAGAUCAAUAUAUACCUCUCUGUCUGCCCUCAUAUACACUUAGCUAUCCAUUCCCACAGACACCCCUCUAUCUGUCCCCACAUACACCUAUCCAUUCAUCCAUCCCCACAGACACCCAUCUGGCUAUCCCCAUAUACAACCUAUUUAUCCAUACAUACCCCUCUAUAUAUCCCCCUAUGCACCUAUCCAUCUCCAUAGACACCUGUUCCAUUUGCCUAUCCCCACGUAGAUCUAUCCAUCCAUCCCCGUACACCUCUAUCUAUCGAUACAUCUAUCUACCUGCACAUGCAUCCUCCUCCUUACUCUCAUACACACCUGUCUCUCUAAGUUUCUCUCCCAUGGUCCAGGCUGGCUGGGAUCCAAGUUCCCAGCCUGGCCCCCUCACUGGUAACAGAAAUCUCAGCUCCGACUAUGUUUCUCCAGCUAGGUCUCCGUCCAAACCCGUAACCAUCGGUGCUACUCCCCAGCCCUUGCUGCUGCUCACCUAGCCGCAGCUGUAAUGCCCGGGCACCAUUUCCCUGCAUGUCAGCAACCACGGGGCCAGGGUGUGCCAGCUGCACUGUAAAUAGUCUCCAAGUCACAAGGAUUCCCAUUAUUAAUCCCACCCUCAGUAACCUGCCCUAACACAGCAAUCCAACCUAGUGGGCCCCACCCUAUGAGCAUGGCGCUAAGGGACUCAGACUGUCUCCUGCUUGGGGAGGGAAGGGGAGCAGACGGGAACCGAGUGAUUUUUCAGAGGGGUUGAUUUUUCACUAGGCAGAGCCACAGGGGCUCCUUAGUAGCCCCCCUUCCCAGUGUGGGUACAUCUCAGGCACAGGGGCAUCAAACUGGCUACUGCUGGGCGGGGCCAGACAUGCCUGCGAAAGGAGCAUCUGGGGUUCCCUUGGAAAGCCAGAGGGUGCUGGGGGAGGGGCACAGUGCCAGCCUCAUAGGAUGCCACACCCACAGCAGGCAGUGCCAGGCCCAGAGAGGCCCUGCCCAAUGCAGACAGGACAAAGGGUGCCUGAUGUCAGGCAAAGUAGUGAUUCUGGAACCUGUCUGGCCACCCCAUCCCCAGGCCCACACACUUUGGAGCCUUGGGGGUCAAAUGCUCUCGCUAGCAGGGAGGGGACACAAGUUGCCCCCUGGCAGAUUUUCAGCAACAGGGACCAGACUAGUACCUUCUGGAUCUAAAUGCAUGAGCUUCUCCUGCCUAAGCCAAAAGCCAGGGCUCUGCCAGGUCCUCAACCUGUGUAUAUGGCCCAGCCGCCACUAGAGAGGGACAAAGCACCACGCUGAGUGCCCCAGCGGUCUGGGGCCCUGGUGGAAUGAAGGGUUGCCAUGUUUUCAGCAUUGUAUGAAUAGUCCUUGUAACCUGAUGUGCUGCACGCCUUGCGCUAAUAAACCCUGAAACCCCACCA
rnacentral:lncRNA from 1 species